rnacentral:lncRNA from 1 species
AGGAGGCGGAGAUGACAGACCGCUCCAGGAACGAGCUAUAGAGCGAUCGCAUACCCCCCGCAAGGCCCUCCAGGACUCGCUGACUCCCGGGCAGAGGUCAAGGGUCAGGAAUGGGUCCAGCUGUGCGCCUGGAAAGGACCCAGCGUGCCCACGCUCCCGGCAAGCCAGGACUCAAACAUCCCCAAAGGGCGUCCGGGCUGAUGACGAUAGCUCCCAAUCGCCCUCCAGACGCACACUGGCAGGAACAACCGGAGGGACUUCCCUGACCGACCCCGCGUUUGCUCAGCUUUGAAUUCCCGCUCUGUAGAUCUGUCGCAAUUUAACCAGAAGUCACCCUGAAGACGGUACCAAAAUCUCUGGAACUGGAGUUACAGAUGUUUAUAAGCCACCAUGUGAGUGCUGGGAAUCAAACCUGAUAAUCCGGAAACCUAUCCAGUUCUAUACAUCCAGAGCUGGAUUCAUCACCUUCUUUACCUGCGUGGUAUCUGACUCUGUAUCGGUGCAUGGAGCUGUUUGAGAAAGAUCAGAGGAUGUGCCCUUGUUGGAGGAGAUGUGUCCCUGGGGGAAGGUCUUGAAACUUCAAAUGCCCACUCACUCCAUUCUCAGCACCUCUCUUCCUCAUGUCUAUGAAUCAGGAUGGGAAGUUCUCAGCUACUUCUCUAGCACCAUACCUGCCUGCCAGAUGCCGUGCUCCCUGCCAUGAUGGUCAUGAACUCACCCUUUAAAACUGUAAGCCCUCAAUAAAGUCUUUCUUCUACAAAU